rnacentral:rRNA from 1 species
GACGAACGCUGGCGGCGUGCCUAACACAUGCAAGUCGAGCGGGGAUACUGAAGAGCAAUCGGAGGUAUUUCAGCGGCGGACGGGUGAGUAACGCGUGAGCAACCUGCCUCUUACAGGGGGAUAACGCAGCGAAAGCUGCACUAAUACCGCAUGAGACCACGGCGCUGAUGGUGCAGGGGUCAAAGGAGAAAUCCGGUGAGAGAUGGGCUCGCGUCCGAUUAGGUAGUUGGUGAGGUAACGGCCCACCAAGCCAAAGAUCGGUAGCCGGCCUGAGAGGGUGAACGGCCACAUUGGAACUGAGAGACGGUCCAAACUCCUACGGGUGGCUG